GAUGAAGAACGUAGCGAAAUGCGAUACUUGGUGUGAAUUGCAGAAUCCCGUGAACCAUCGAGUCUUUGAACGCAAGUUGCGCCCGAAGCCAUUAGGCCGAGGGCACGCCUGCCUGGGCGUCACACGUCGUUGCCCCCCCAUCUACUCCUUCGGGAUUGCGGGGGGCGGAUGAUGGCCUCCCGUGCGCCUCGUCGCGCGGUUGGCCUAAAUGCCAAGUCCUCGGCGACGCACGCCACGACAAUCGGGGGUUGCGAAACCUCGGUUGCCCGUCGUGUGCGGUCGUCGCGCAUCGAGGGCUCGAAAAAAUUGCCGGGCUUCGGCUCGACUUUCAACGCGACCCCAGGUCAGGCGGGGUUACCCGCUGAAUUUAAGCAUAUCAAUAAGCGGAGGA
rnacentral:misc_RNA from 1 species